rnacentral:rRNA from 1 species
AGUUGCAGGGUAUAGACCCGAAACCCGGUGAUCUAGCCAUGGGCAGGUUGAAGGUUGGGUAACACUAACUGGAGGACCGAACCGACUAAUGUUGAAAAAUUAGCGGAUGACUUGUGGCUGGGGGUGAAAGGCCAAUCAAACCGGGAGAUAGCUGGUUCUCCCCGAAAGCUAUUUAGGUAGCGCCUCGUGAACUCAUCUUCGGGGGUAGAGCACUGUUUCGACUAGGGGGUCAUCCCGACUUACCAACUCGAUGCAAACUACGAAUACCGAAGAAUGUUAUCACGGGAGACACACGGCGGGUGCUAACGUUCGUCGUGAAGAGGGAAACAACCCAGACCGCCAGCUAAGGUCCCAAAGUCAUAGUUAAGUGGGAAACGAAGUGGGAAGGCUCAGACAGCCAGGAUGUUGGCUUAGAAGCAGCCAUCAUUUAAAGAAAGCGUAAUAGCUCACUGGUCGAGUCGGCCUGCGCGGAAGAUGUAACGGGGCUAAACUAUGCACCGAAGCUGCGGCAGCGAUAUGUAAAUAUUGUUGGGUAGGGGAGCGUUCUGUAAGCCUGUGAAGGUGU